UUUCGCCUUCUCCCCGCGCGCGCCGCAUCUCAUUCUCCUUUUUUCACUUCCUUCCGAGGCUACCGUCGGGAUGUUCCUACGUGCACGUCUCGUAGCGAGGAACGAAAGACGUGGGUAUUGAUCAGAGCCUGCCGCGGCUGCGGAAGUAGCCGACAUUACUUCACGGAAAACCGGCUGCCUCCUCGUAUGCGCUUACUCUGUUUAACAUGCGCAUCCGUUCGCUUCUAUUAAUUAGACGGCUGCAGAUACCUUUCGUUUUAUGUACAAUAUCAAAAAACUUGCAUAACACGAAAGGAUGAUCCAAGAAACGGAACUAAACACGCUACUGUGAUAAAAUGUUACACACACAUCGUGAGAUGGAUAAAAUUUCUGUUAAACAUCAUUCUUCAUUUUAAAAGAGACGGCAAACCGAAUUCUUGAAGGGGAUGUAUGAUUAUUGGUCGACCCUCUUUGCUGGAGUGUACCAUGGAAUAUUAAGGAGCAGCCCUAAAGGGAAUAUUCUGAGCACCGGCAUGAGAAAACUUUUGGCAAUCGCAAGCGUUUAAUUGGUCCAACGGAGAGGCAGGUGGCUACAUUAAUUGCACCGGAUUGCCAGCAGUACGACGAGCUGGUCAGGAUGCCUAAUCAUGGGGGUUGUGCGGCGAUAGGUCGGUCCGACGCGGCAGAAAAGGCGUCUCGCAUUGAAUGCUAAACAAAAGCUAAUUUAUAUCCGGAGGUCGAGACUAACGCUGGAGAUCGGGAGAUGAAUGGCUGUUCACCUUGCAUACCAAGUGGCAAGCCGAGUCCUUCAGGACCGCGGAGUUAAAGAUCUUGGAGGGAAUGUUCCCCGUGGAAUAGUUGCUUGUAUCUUCAAAUAUCGCGUACGAGACGGCGAACUGGAUUUUAGGAGCUCGUCAAAAGGCGCUCGAUCGCUGCUUGAUUUCUAUUCAGGCGGCACGUAAAUUUAAACGCCGUGAAUAAUUUUCAUCUUAAAAUAUCUAACAAUCAACCCUUUACAACGUUCUCUUUCAGUAAGUAAAUUCAGGAAAGUAAAUUCUAAGCGAGAUAAUUUCUAGUAAAGUUUUAAGAUUCAGAGGCUGCAAGAGCAAUGUAUUUAGAUAGUAAUUUUAGAUAAUCUGAAGGCGUAAAAAUUUUACACAGAGAAAUCGAAACAAACAAUAUACAAAUGUAAUAAAAUUUCUUUGAAAAAUCCACGUCUCACAUGCAGAGAUUCUCUUUAAUACUUAAUUUAUAUUAUUAUUCGUAAUUCGUAAGUUUUGUCGCGCAGAGUUGAAGAGCGCGGAAUGAAUAUUCCGGUUUCUAUCGAUUUGUGGAAGGAAAAAAUUUCCGAGCACGUAUUACUAGUGACGAGCAGGAUUCGCAUCGCGAGCUUUCGAAUCUACGCGGUUUAAUCUAUCAUUGCGACGGCGAGACGAGAAGCCGGAGUAACUAGUACGGAAUAAUUAAUAAAUGCGAGGUGCAUUAGUAUGCGUUGCGGAGGAUGAGUUCGUGCGGACCUGGAGUCGGAUGAGUCGGGCCCGGGGCUAGAGAGAGAAUUAUAAAAUAAUAAAGAGAAAAUUACGUAAUGUGAGGAUCAGAUGAGAAU